UACGGAGGGUGCGAGCGUUAAUCGGAAUUACUGGGCGUAAAGGGUGCGUAGGUGGUUUAUUAAGUUAUCUGUGAAAUUCCUGGGCUCAACCUGGGAUGGUCAGAUGAUACUGGUAGGCUGGAGUAUGGGAGAGGGUGGAAGAAUUUCCGGUGUAGCGGUGAAAUGCGUAGAGAUCGGAAGGAACACCGGUGGCGAAGGCGUCCACCUGGCCUAAUACUGACACUGAGGCACGAAAGCGUGGGGAGCAAACAGG
rnacentral:rRNA from 1 species